GUGACAGCUUUCAAAUGGCGACCGCCAAUGUCCUGGAAAGGAGCAUUCAGUUCCUGGUGUUUGGACUGAGUUGAGCUUAUGGAUUCCCGGAGAUAUUUGACUCCAGAAUGAACUCUCUCUUCUGCCUUUAAGACAAAGAAGGUCUCACCAAGCCUCAUUCAAGAGAUUCACUGAGAGGAAAGAAUCCAGGAGGUGGCUGCCCCUGCAAAGAGGGAAAGUCAGCUUCCACUGAACAAAUACAGGGUGGUUUCAUGCUCAGUGAUCAGCUGGUUUUCCUGCUCAGGAAUUUGUUGCUUUUAUGCUGAGAUAUUGGUUAGUUUGUUUUGCCGAAUUGGAUCAGGGUGUGCUGCUUUGGAUAGAAACGGGUGUUGCUUCCCCUAUAAAGAGAUAUGCAGUCCAUUGUGGGCCAACAAGUGAGUGUUGAGAACCCAGCCCAGGUCUUCUGUAAGAGCAGCAAGUCCUCUUAACCCUGGGCCAUCUCUGAAGUCCAAGUCAGCAAAUCUUAAAUGUAAUUAGUAUUUUUCUACUUUGCCCCAUAAUGACAAUAGGCAUCUUCUUAUACUCAGGUAGGUCCAAGUUUCAUUAUUAUUUACCAAUCCAUAAAGUUUCAUUUCUAUAUUCCUUAGGUUCUCAAUCCCAACCACUGCCCUACCCUGUCUGCAGGAAAAUAACAAUCUGCCAUUAUAGACAAAUUUGUAUAUGCUGGAAUGUAUCAGAAUAGAACCAGAGUUUAGAGACAUCUGGCCUUCAUUCAUCUUGCAUAUAUGUUUAAAUUUAUCUCUUUUGUUGCCCAUGAUAAUUGUUCAUUCUUAAUAUUAAAAGGUGUAGCAAUGUAUAGCUACAUGACAAGUUUCAUACUUUAGUUUGAUUUCAUGUAUAUAAAUGUUUGCCUACAUAUAGGUAUGAAGAGCACAUGCAUGCCUGGUGCCCAUGGAAGCCAAGAGAAAACAUCGGAUCCCUUGGCACUGGAGUUACAGUUGAAAACUGCCGUACUGGUUUUGGGAUAUGAGUCUUUGCCUGUUGCCUGUUGCUGAAGUUGUUUUCAAUUUCAGUGUCUUGUAUAUAAAGCUGGUGUGAACUGAAAUAAAUGAGUCUUUAAAAGAAAAUAUGUUCUCUUUCUCCAGGUAAUAUAUUUGGGGUUGUGAUGGCCAGAUGACAAUUAACAUAUGAAGAAACUGAGAAAUACUUUUCCAAGUGUCUGUCCGUUUUCCAUGGCCACCAGCAGGGGGUAUGGGAGAGUCAUCCUCCACAACCUGCCAGGUCUUCGUAUGACAAGUCUUUAUUUCUGAGUAUUUUAUGGGGGUGUUGAGAGUCCCCUCAGAGUCACCUGUCUCUCUUCCCUAAGCAUGUUGUGGCUGUUAUGUUUCUCUUACUGGAGCAUCUACUCACCCUUCUGGCCAAGUUUGAUUUCGUGAAUUGUCUAAUUUCUUAGUGGCUAUUUUUGGAGCUUUCUGUAUUCUGGAAACAAGAAGACUGUCAUCUGAUAUACAAGUUCCCACAUUCAUUUUCCCAGGUUGUUGGAGGAAGUCUUGCAUUGGGGCCUUCCCAUCUCCUCCUUCAAAUGGAGCCAGGAGAGGCCUGGUGUCUUGGUCCAGUCUUUGCUUCCAGAUGGAACUCCUCAGGACCACUCUGGGUUUAUAAGGAGUCUGGAAGUCAUGUGUUCAUCCUCCAAGUUUGUUCCUUUUCAAGGUGUUUUCAAGCUCUGGUUCUUCAUAUACAUUUAUUUUGAAGUUGCAAGUGAAUUAAGAAAAAAAGAAACAAAUGUCCAACACCCAAUUAGAGGGAAAAUUUCUAAGGCAGCACCAGGUCAAAUGUUUGCCCAAAUGGAAUCUUUGGAAUCAUAGAGAUAGUCCUUUACCUCCCAGCCAGCUCCAUCAGGGAGGUGCUGAGAUCACAGUGGAGAGAAAGAAGGGGAUACAUGUGAAGAGUUAGGUCUCUUCUAUGAGAAGAACAACAGGAAGGCAGAGAGAACACGCAGAAGGUUGACAAGAAGCUGACAUGAGCCCUUGUUUCC